UUUAUAGAAAAAAUGAUGUCCUAGAGAUAGGGUAAUGAUUUUGACAUAUCUUCUUAUGCUAUAAAAAUUGAACAAUCUCAGUUAAACAGAAAAACUGAGGUCCUGAUUGGUGAAUGUGUUGGUCAGAGAGAAACUGAAGACUCGAUCCCUGAGGCAGGCAGGGAGAAGACACUGAUAGGGAUCUGUUUAGCUCCAUGGUCUCACCCACUGGGGAGGCGUCCAGUCUGAAAUUCAAGUUAUGUCAAACUGCUAAGACCCACCCUCUCUAGGGGUCUUGGGCAGCCUCACCCUGCCAUGCUCUGUCAGAAAUCCCAGUCAUGUCCCUGAGUUAAACUUAUUAAAUUAAUUUAAUAAUUAUGUUAUUGAUGGAUUAAUGAACAAUUAAAAUUAAAUUUAGGAUUCAAACUUUCCCUAUAAAAUUUACUUAUAGCCCAUGCCAUACUCCCUGCCCUUCUUUGGAUCACUUCUCUCUGCUUAUGGGUAAGAUUUUGGGUUUUAGGUAUAUUUGCAUCCCCAAUAUUGCAGGGGGGACCAGUAUAAUAUCUGAUCAACUUAGAUCUAAAGAGUGUGCUUUUCUCAGUGUCUCUGGUGGUGUCUUUCCCCUUCCCCUUCCCCCAUGCUAUGUGGUCUCUCCUCACCCUAUUUCUUCUCCUCACCAGCUACUUCUUUUAGGGUUCUAAGUCCUUUUCAGGAUUUAGCCUGCCAGUGAAGGACAUGUCCUAACCUCAUAGGGUGUUUCCUUUCUCCUGGUGAAUGAGCUGCUUGAUUUAAGAUCACUGCAGCUUGUGGUUAUAUCCAGCCUCUCUGAUGUAUGAUAGGCUCCUCCCAAAACAAAAUCCUCUCCCCGUGUCCUGGAGUCAGCCUCAGUUUCUCGUUACAUGGGGAUUUCCUUGUGUUCCCAACUUCCAGAGUCCUGAAAUCCAAGUAUUCUAGAUCUAUGAUCCUGCUUGGACAGUCUCGUGAGCUCUGUGCUGACAUUUGAUGAAAAGCUUGAAGCAUCGAUGGUUCCAGCAGAAGAUAGAGACUUCCAGCUCUUAUCCCCAGAAUUUCUUCUCCCCAAAAGACCCUACUCUUUAUGGAACGCUCAGAUGGUGGAAGUCAGCUACAAGAAUAAAACAAGGACCUUCUAUCCCACAAGACUCACCCCCGACGUGCCUUCUCAAAAGCUGGAAAAAAAUUAGAGGAGGCAAUUUAAAGAGGAAAAUGGGGAGGGGCUUAACCCUCUCUCAGGAUCCCUUUCUUUGUUAUUCUUGAAAAUUAAUUUUAGUCAGUUCUACCCAUAAGUUCCACAUUAAAAAGGAAAAAGCCUGACUUUUUUUUCUUGUAAACUCAGCACUGGCUAAGUUGGCUCUAUAGAAGUCAAGUUAGUUAAUUAAAGUUGUAAAACUUUAAAAACAUUUUAGCAGAUUCUGGAGGUUUUGAAUUAAUCAUUAAAUUAUUUGGUAAUAUCUUGUUUCCUCCCUAACAAAAGGAAAACUAAUUUGCUCUUAGUAAAUACUAAUUGAUAAAUAAUGGUUCUUUUGAAAUUGUAGAAUUGAGAUUUGACUUGUAACUAAAAACUUGUGGAGAAUGUUUAAAACUAGCUAAAACUGGUAAUUGAUGUUUAUGGAAAGAUGGUGGUGAGGUAAAAAAAAAAAUCCUUAUCUGGUUUGGCUUUGCAUUUAGAGUUAUUCCCUUCCCCUCUUCACAGAAUGUGGGGGGAGGUGAGUAGCAUAAAACCAUUUCUUUAGAUAUCAAGAAAGGUUAUGAAUUUUCUGUGAUGAAUCUCUUAUUACAAUUGUAUAAGAUAAUCAUUAAUGGUGUGUUCUAAAACUGUGAAGUUGUUUAUUCUGGGUAUAAUAUCUUUGAAAUUUGUGUACAAAUAUUGAAGUAUUAUUACUAAAAUUUUAAAUCUGAGUAUUAAAACAAAGUUCUUUGGUAAUUUGUUCAAAAGGAUUGCAUGUUUGCACAUCCUAAAAACUUCUAUAAUUACUGUGUAUAGGACAGUGAAAAACUUUAUCUAGAUUUUAUUUUCAGAUGAGUUAUCCCCCCCCCCCCACUCACAUUGUUUGGGGGAAGUGGAAGAAAAAUCUCACAAAACCAUUGUUCCUAGCAAGAUCAUUGGCCCUAGAAAAUGACCUUGGUAUGGAAUAUGAAAUUCUCAUACAAGAAAUAAAAUACAGGUGACAAUUUCGUUAUCAUUUCAAAAAAUUCUUGAGGAUUUUUGGUUGUUAUCCGAAAUUUAGGAUUGAAAACUGCAAUGCA